ACACACACAACAACGUGCACACAAAGGGGGAAAUGAUGCUUAUAAUGAGCUCCCUGAUGUUGUGUGUGUACAACAGAAUCUGAAGAUUUGUGAGCCUGAUUUUUUAUGAAAAACUUUGGAAACACGGGACAAGAAGUUUGGUUCAACUGUUAUCCAGAAAAUAUGCAAAGGUUCUUGGACCAAGAGAGGCAUAAUUUUGUUCAGAUCAUUCAUACUUCUGUAGAUCUGAGUUUAUUUCUAUUCCACAAAGCAAUUACAGUUAUUGGUAUAAAAAUUGAAGCAUUAUUAUUACACAACAUGGGCUGCAGAAGAAAUACGAGGUUGUGUUAUAUUAUUCACACGUCAGUAUCUGUGACUAUUGAACAAAGAGAUUACUUCAUAGGGGUGUGUGCACUGCUCAGUGAUGGGGAGGGAGGAAGGCAGAGCUGCAACUACAGAUAUAAUAAGCAGCAAAUCUCAAGGACACAGCCCUGGAGCAGGUUCAUCUGAGUAUCUCACUGUAGGCAUCAUGGUCAUGGCUACUGUUCCAACUUUAAUUUCUCUAGUCGGUUCCUUCCAUCAAGCUGUUGUGUGAAGAAUUGUUUCAUGAAAUCAUGGUAACUUAUUGAUCUGUAGUGCACUUUACCAUCUUUCACAAACUGCGGCAGAGGGCUGAUCACUAUAUUCUCGCAGGGAUAGUGGAACAGUGAUGCUGAAAUCCGCUCUUUAUUUGGGUUUAUGAUAGCCCUGUGUUCAAUACUUCUGAACUUCCCAUUACUCAGUAUCUAUACAUAUCAAUAACACAUAACACACAUCAGAAAAAAGGUGUAAGAGAAAUAGACCAUCCAACAACAAUGUUCAGAAUUUGAGCAUCAGUCGUAGUCUCCAGAAUAUAAAUAAUUUGAAGUUAGGUCCGUUGUUUAGUGCAUUGACAAGUGAUAGCAUAGUUUUUUCUUGGUCAUUACCUCAAGGGUGUCACCAAUGAUAACCAUGAAUGCACCAUUUUGAGCAUCCACGGAGAACCACUUGCCAUCCUUCUUGAUCUGCAGGCCAUGCACGUCGUUCACUUGGAGCAGCAGCGUGAGGCCAACCACAUCAGUGUGCGGGGAAAGGCCCAUCACCUUGUCAGCUUGCUGGCAUGGUGGGUAGUAGCACAUCCUUAAUCCUCGCGGCUGCUCUUCAAAUAUGCCUAACAAUGACUCUGGCUCAGCGCCCACGGCCUUAGCCAUGAACUCAAACAAGCAGAGUGCUAGGCUUUUGGUCUCUGAUGAGUAUGCAUCAAUGGACUGCCUAUUUACGGACAUCUCCAGUUAAGAAGAGACAUGCUUAUCAAAAGCUAAACUGCACAGUUUUUAGGUAGUCAGGUAGAUCACCUGAAAAGUGCAGGGGAGGUGGGCCAGAACCUCAAGUCCCUUGCAUUGCUAGGAUGGACUUGAAGGUAUAGCAUGUCUGCCCAGUCUAGUUUCUGGUCCUCAGAGAAAACGAAGCCGUGUCCAUAUCCUUCAAGGCUGUUGGGUAGCUGUGAGUACUCCUCCUUGGCAUCCAGUGGCUGUCUGAAGAAAUCAACAAUAUCGUGCUUGAGGUACCCGUUACACCUCCAAAUCUGAAAUGUCAAGAACAUAAAGUUACAUACCUGAAAGAACCCCCAAUACUGGCAGGCAGAUCUCAGUUUCAUACACUCCUCUUUUGAUGAUUGUGGAGAAAGCAACUUAUCGAGAUCAAUGAUUGGAAUCUCCAUGUCACCUUGGUAGUUGCUGAUGACCUUUUCAGAAGCAGCCUCUGUCCUGAUGUACCUCUCAGGUUUUCAGGAAUUUCACUAGUUUAAUGAUGACAUAAGAGAAACACAUCUAUGUUGAAAGCGACAUACUCCGUAUAUCAGAGAAGGGGAAGGCACAAUGUCACCAAGGAUCCAAUCCACAGACAAAGAUCGAGUCUCUGAGCCUGAUAUACUUAACUUCAAGAUAUCCCAUGAAUGAGUAAACAAAACAGCCUAUGUCAUUGGCUAACGGCAAGAGAAGCUUCUCGACCGAAGUACAGGGCGGCUUUCGAUAGCCUAUGUAUGCUAACGUCGUGGCUGAUUUGGAAGGAAAGAAAUGCACGGGUGUUCGACUCCAAAUAAAAAUCAGCCGACAACCUCUUUAAUGAUAUUCGUGCUGAGGUAAUCAUCUGGAAGGAGGCUGGCAUUUUCAGGGAUGGCGAAGGAUGAUGAUCUCGUUGCUUCAUUCUUUUCUGUGUUUGUAGCCUGAUCUCUGUCUGUGAGAUCGGCAACUCGACAGCAUACUGUCGAUCUUUUGUUACUACUGUACAUUCCCUACUCUUAAUUCAAUUCUGGUCGAGCUACUUUGGCCGACCCGGCAAAAAUAAUUUGGGAUAG